rnacentral:lncRNA from 1 species
GUUGUUUUGUAGAGGGGAGGAAACGACGUCAUUUUGGAAAGGGAAAAACGACGUCAUUUUGCAAGGAGGAAAACGACGCCGUUUUGAGAAAAAAAAACUGGGGUGAUUCAAGUAGGAGGCGGGGGAAGGCAGGAAGGAGGAAAGGAAGGAAAAAGAGGGAAAAAGGGGAGCAGAGGAGAAGGGGAGCGGGAGAGAGAAAGAGGAGAGGAAGGAAGGUUCCAUAAGGAGAGAGGAGGGAGAUAGGGAAACGUUGUGGUGUGAGGACGUAGUCGGAGGGAGAGAUAAGUAGAGGCAGUGGGGGAAAAGCAGGGGAAGGGAUGAGUCCGUGGAGUGAGUGAGGCGAGAAGGACGGUGUGAUGUGAUGGUGUGGCGGGUGGUUGUAGCCGAGGGAGAGAUAGGGGAAGGCAGUGGAGGAACGCUGGAGGGAGGAAGAACCCACGGGGUGAGUGAGGUGAGAAGGAUGGUGUGACGCGACGUUGUGGCGGGAGAUUGUAGAGAGAGAGAGAGUUAGGGAGGGGCGGGGAGUGAAGGUUAGAGAAGGGAAAGAUCCACCGGAUGAGGGAGAUCCACCGGGGGAGUGAGACGCUUUGGGAAGUGGAGUUGGUUAGUUAGAACCUUGGGGGAAGAGAGACAGAAUGAGUGGGGGCAAUUAGGAUAUGUCGCAGGUGUGCGUGCGUGGCCUGGUAUAGGUCGAGAGGUGGUUAGUGGUCGCCGAUAUCGGUGACGGGAGAGAAGGACCAGUGUAUGUGUGAGUGGCCUAGUAUAGGUCGUGAGAUGACUAACGGUCGCCGAUGGUGGUGACGGGAGAGAAUGAUCAGAGCGUGUGUGAGUGGCCUGGUAUAGGUCGUGAGAUGGCUAACAGUCGCCGAUGGUGGUGACGGGAGAGAAGGAUCAGAGUGUGUGUGAGUGGCCUGGUAUAGGUCGAGAGAUGGCUAACGGUCGCCGAUGAUGGUGACGCAAGUGAAUGAAAAUGGUGUGUGUGUGUGAGUGGCCUGGUAUAGGUCAGGGGAUGGCUAACGGUCGCCGAAGGUGGUGACGAGAGAGAAUGAUUGGAGUGUGCGUGUGUGGCCUGAUAUGGGGUCGAUAGGUGACAGAUGGUCGCCGCUGUUGGUAAUGGAAAUGAGUGAGAUUUGUGUGCGUGUGUGGCCCACUAGGAGUCGAUAGGUGGUUAAUGGUUGCCAAUCUUGGCAGUGAAGGGUAUCCCUGGCACGCUUGGAGUGCCGUCGGGAACGGACGCCUAGGGUAGGUAGAAUAGUAGGUGCAGGAAGGAAAGUGUUGAGUUCAGUAGUGAACGAUUGGUAGAGGCAUAGGAUUUAUACUGUUGCAUUUCACGCAUGUAUUUUGAGUUUUACUGUACUGAGUUAAAUGAACUCACUCUUUCCUUUUUACAUAUGAUGUAGGGACGGAGUCCGGAUCGAGGCCGUUGGAUUCCGAUCCUAGUGUGUAGAGUACAGGAUGAGGAGUUUCGUUUUAUUUUAUCUGAAUGGAAUAUGUAGAAUUGAUGAUAGCAUAGAUUUUGAGUAUGGUUGUAUGGUAUGAGGUGUCUUGUAUAUGGUUGUAGGAUUGUCUUGAUCAUUGAAUGAGAGAUUAUGCUAUUGUUUCUUUGUGUAUGACCGUUUGGUUAUGAAAGUUGGUU